rnacentral:rRNA from 1 species
GGAAGGCCUUUGGGUUGUAAACCUCUUUUCUCAGGGAAGAAGAUCUGACGGUACCUGAGGAAUAAGCAUCGGCUAACUCCGUGCCAGCAGCCGCGGUAAUACGGAGGAUGCAAGCGUUAUCCGGAAUUAUUGGGCGUAAAGCGUCCGCAGGUGGUCUUUCAAGUCUGCUGUCAAAGACCAGAGCUUAACUCUGGGCAGGCGGUGGAAACUGAGAGACUAGAGUUCGGUAGGGGUAGCGGGAAUUCCCAGUGCAGCGGUGAAAUGCGUAGAUAUUGGAAGAACAUCCCCCUAGGCGGCCGCGAAUC